CAUCAACAUGUUUAUUUGUACUUUGUAGAUGUAAAAUCUUGGGAUCUCUCUCAGUAGACAUGUUACUAAAGCAGAUUGAAGCUAUUGUUUGUUAGUUAGGGAUUUUCUGGCAAUAAGUGGUUAUGCAAUAUUUGAACUGUUUAAUAUUCUUUUCAAAUAUUUGUGGUGAUGAUCAGAUCAUGCUUUGUUUAUUAUGUUCUCUGAUGGUGGCCUCCGUAAUCAGUUUUGCUUUUGCUAAACCUUCAUUUUCUACAUCCUGGUUGUGGGACUUAUGUACAAUAGGAUGCAAUUUAUUAUGGCUUCGUUCCGUUCUGUUCCGUGUGAAUGCGUAAUCAAUGAAUUACAUGGUUUAUAGCUCAAUCUGAUGAUGGUGUUGGUUAUGAAAUUUUCAAAUUUUUGAAUUAGUACAGGUUUUGUAGGAUGUUAGCCUCCUCAAGAUGGGGAAGUCUCCUGGAAAAUGGAUCAAGGGCAUUACUUUUGGUGAAAAAGGAUCUAAGUCUAGUUUAAGAGAGCAUCCUGUAAGUUUCAAUUUGUAUUUUCAAUCUAUACUUUUUCUUUGGUUUCAAUCACAACUAUCAUUUGUGAGACAUCUAUGUGUAAAGUAAUGUUCCUAUGUAUGAUCAUUUCUCUUAAUUGUUAUUCUACAAACAAGAUGCAUCAGCUGUUGUUUCCUCUAUUUGAAAGAAUCUUAAACUCUGCACUGUCUAUGUUAUGUGUAUUUUGGGUGAGGUAUAUGUAAUAGUACCUCUGUAUAAGAAGAAAUAUGUAUUGAAGAAACCAUAGGUGAAAUAUGUAUUCAAGAAAAUUAUGUAAGCAAAACCAGAAGACAUUAAAGGAAGCCUGUAAGAUCUACAGCCCCUAUACCCUCGGAGCAAACGUUUAACACUCCAACUUGUAAAUUAGUGGAGGAAAAAACUGCAUCGCCCCAGUCAAGGUGAGAGCUCUAGUCUCCCCAAGGUUUGGACAAGAUGCAACUGAAAGCAAUUCUCUGCCAUCUUCCAUUAGUGGGAAACUGAUUUCAUCACCAAGAGUUCACAAGCUGGCUCAAUCUAAUGGCAAAUAACGAACCAAAAUUGAUAGAUCCAUGUCUUCCUCAAAAAAAUUGCAGGUAAGAGCUGCACUUAGUUAAUUAUGUGUUAAUAAUUUGUUAGUUCCAUGCAAUUACUUUGUUUUACCUCUAUUUGAAGAUUCAGCUCAACAUAUGAUACUGAGUAGUUACUGCUUUUCCCUAUAUCUUGGACCGUAUGAAAUACUAGCAUUUUUCCAGAAAUCCAUAUUUUUUUUAAAGUAACCUUUGCUGCAAACUGGACAAAUUCAUACAAUGAGAUAAUCCAUAUUUAUUUCUUGGAUUUCUCUCAUUAUAAUAAGUGUCUAUGAAGUAAGAGCAAUCAUAGACAUUUUUAGGUGCUUGCUUUCUACAUAUCUUAAUUUUGAGUUUGGUUAUAAAGAUGGCAUGUUGACUCCUUUCCUUUGGUAUUGUUUUCUCAUGUUUCACCGUUUGCAUAACAUGAUACACAUUUUGCAUUUAAUAGCUUCCCAUAGUUCUUCAACUGACUUUUUUACCUGAGUGAUCUAUUUGUGAUUUGUCUGUUGGACUUAAGAAUAGAUUUGACCAUGACAAGGGACUUGAACCAUUUUUGCAAAUGUCACGACUCACGUUUGUGGUUACCUUCUUUCUGCUCCCAAUCUUUCUGCUCAAGUUGCUUGGUAGAUGAGCUGGAAAGGGUGGAUUAUAUAUGUGAUCCCAUUUAGACAGUGAGAAACUGUGCAACAGUCAAAUGCAGUUAAUAUCUCCACAGGAGUUCCCCCAAACACUUCAGCGAGCAUUACUCAUCCCAGAAAAUACUCAAUGAAGCGACUGGGAGGACUCUGGUCGAGACCUGAUAUUUAUCAGUUGUUUGAAGCUGAAUCUAUUCGGACACUGGCAUUCUUACUAUGCUGAUGCAUCUGGCUUGAAUUGCAGUGUUUUCUUUCUUUUUUCCUAAGAUGACCCACCCUUUUCAGUUGCGAUGGAGCAGAGGAGUGGAGGAGUCUUUGAUGGAAGUGUAAACCAUGCAUAUCAGACAGAAUUACCCAGAAGGUCCAGAGCAUAUUUGGUUGGAAUCACAAAAGGUGAAACUGUAAGAAAUGGAGCAUGUCUUUUGAUUCCAUGGAUAAUGGAAAAGGUGAUACCCUUUUUUGUAUAUGGGCUACUUUCUCGACCAGGUUCAGACUCUCACUACUUAUUUACUGGAUACUCUGUAUAAACAAAUUAGUACUCACAUUACUAGAAUUUAAAAAGGGGAGAAACUUACCAGUACAUAAAUAAUGGUAAGAUUAAAUUCCUUUUAAUGACAGUAAUGAGUAGUAGUGCAUUCUAUAACAAAUGUACUUUUUUGGAAUGGCUGACUUAAUUAUUUCAUCCCACCGAUUUGAAAUUAUUUGAAUAUGUAAAAAUCUCAUAUUGUAUUUUCGUAGAUAUACCACAAGCUUUAAAGCCUUAAUUAAAGCUUAUUGUCCAAGUAUCACCCCAACUCAAAAAAAAGAAGAUAAAAGAUGAAUUAUAAAUAUGCUGGAACUAAUUAGGAACAACAAUUAUAAUUAAUCUCACCGUGGAUUAUUUCGUUUCUAUUAGUUUUCACGAUCCAAUGUAGAGAUAUUUUGCCAUAUUUAAGUUUCUUUUCUUUCGUUGUUCACAUUUUAGCAAGGGGCGCCUUAAUUCAACUGAAAAGAGGACCCCCUUUCCCUUCGACAGAUCCUUGCUCACAAUUUUCUAUUACUAUUGAGAAAAUUAAUUAAUGGGUCAAAAUAGCCCAUUAUUUUACAAAAUUCAAUUAAAAAUUAGUAAUCCUACUAUAUAAACUCACAUUUUUAUUUGUAAAGUAGUUUUUAUAAUUUCAUGAUGCAGCUGGAUAAUGUACGUAGUUGAUAGGUUUACUAGUCUCAUUUAUUAUCAUGCAUCACACUAGUAAAGCUUGCAUCAGAGUGUGUAUGAUGUUGAGUUUGAUGAACACAUGGAAAUAGUUGGCGACAGAGCUAGAAAACUGAGGGAUCAAGGAUUCUAAUUCAAAUAGAUUGUUAAAUCAUAUAAUUUGACCCAUGUUUGUGACCAGGUUCAGAAACUGCCAUUUUAAUUAGGGCAAAGAAAAAGCUUCACAUGUUUGAUUCUUGGUACGGUGUUAGUCCCUCUAUAUGUAUAAAUAUAGGCAACAAGAAGCCUUUGCAUUACUAUUAUUACAACAUUCUAGUACAUUGUGAUUGGUGACUGAAGUUUCCUCAAACUACUUCACUAGAAAUAAAACAGUUCCAUUUCCUAGUGAAGUGUUUGGGGGAACUUUGGGCUGCCUCACAGAUUUUGAGCAUUCUGUUUCCUUUUUAUUUUUUAUUAUCUAAUUCUGAUUCUUUAGGGAAUGCACAAGGCAAAGAGAUACUUGCCGCUGGUCCAAGUGGGGUGGAACCUCGCGAGGCCUAUUGAAUAGCCAGGCCCGAUGAAGAUGCACCCGUAGCUAGACGACGCUCCUCCAUACACGGUGGCUCCCGUCUCGAAUGUCCAAAUUAUAGCCCCUGUCCUUGCAUCCAUUGCGUAGACGGAGCCAGUUGGCGCCAUCGACCCUGCAAACAGGACUUCAUUGACAAUGGUGAAUGGCCCAUGGGCAGUUUCGUUGCUUGGGUUAGCCGUGGUCCAUAGGAUUUCCCCAGCAGUGGUGUUUCGGGUAGAUGGCUUCAGAGUGAAGGGCUCAUUGUUGGAAUUCAGUAUGUUCGUAUACACGCGCAAUCCAUCACUAGCUGCCUGCACCCCAUACCCCUCCUCCUUCUAGUCCUCCGGGGCCCGCUCUCUGUGUAUUCAUAAACAUGAGCAAAAAUUACAAAUAUGGUCAUCAUCUUGAUAGAACGAGGUUCCAUCUUAAAGUCAAUAGGUGAUAAGUGUAGUAGCCCAUAAGACUAUAAUAGUUUCACUUAUCUUUUUACAUCAAUUUACCAUUCAUCAACACAAAUAUAAUUAAAGACUUACAUAUGUC